rnacentral:rRNA from 1 species
UACACUCCUGCGGGAGGCAGCAGUGGGGAAUCUUGCGCAAUGGGCGAAAGCCUGACGCAGCCAUGCCGCGUGAAUGAUGAAGGUCUUAGGAUUGUAAAAUUCUUUCACCGGGGACGAUAAUGACGGUACCCGGAGAAGAAGCCCCGGCUAACUUCGUGCCAGCAGCCGCGGUAAUACGAAGGGGGCUAGCGUUGCUCGGAAUUACUGGGCGUAAAGGGAGCGUAGGCGGACAUUUAAGUCAGGGGUGAAAUCCCGGGGCUCAACCUCGGAAUUGCCUUUGAUACUGGGUGUCUUGAGUAUGAGAGAGGUGUGUGGAACUCCGGGUGUAGAGGUGAAAUUCGUAGAUAUUCGGAAGAACACCAGUGGCGAAGGCGACACACUGGCUCAUUACUGACGCUGAGGCUCGAAAGCGUGGGGAGCAAACAGGAUUAGAAACCCGUGUAGUCCCAUG